rnacentral:rRNA from 1 species
UACGUAGGGGGCAAGCGUUGUCCGGAUUUACUGGGCGUAAAGGGCGUGCAGGCGGUUUGUUAAGUGCAGGGUGAAAGCUCCCGGCUCAACUGGGAGAGGUCCUUGCAUACUGGCGAACUCGAGGGAGGCAGAGGAAAGUGGAAUUCCUGGUGUAGCGGUGAAAUGCGCAGAUAUCAGGAAGAACACCUAUGGCGAAAGCAGCUCUCUGGGACGGUACUGACGCUGAGACGCGAAAGCGUGGGGAGCGAACAGG